rnacentral:rRNA from 1 species
UCCUACGGGGGGCAGCAGUGGGGAAUAUUGGGCAAUGGGGGAAACCCUGACCCAGCAACGCCGCGUGAAGGAAGAAGGCUUUCGGGUUGUAAACUUCUUUUACCAGGGACGAAGAAAGUGACGGUACCUGGAGAAAAAGCUCCGGCUAACUACGUGCCAGCAGCCGCGGUAAUACGUAGGGAGCGAGCGUUGUCCGGAUUUACUGGGUGUAAAGGGCGUGUAGGCGGAGCUGCAAGUCAGAAGUGAAAUCUCCGGGCUCAACCCGGAAACUGCUUUUGAAACUGUAGCCCUUGAGUAUCGGAGAG